rnacentral:rRNA from 1 species
UUUUUAUGAGAGUUCGAUCCUGGCUCAGGAUGAACGCUGGCGGCGUGCCUAACACAUGCAAGUCGAACGAGAUGCGUAUUGGAAAGCUUCGGCCGGAAGAUACGUUAUCUAGUGGCGGACGGGUGAGUAACACGUGGGUAACCUGCCUUAUGGAGGGGGAUAACAGAGAGAAAUCACUGCUAAUACCGCAUAAGCACACAGUACCGCAUGGUACAGGGUGAAAAGAUUUAUCGCCAUAAGAUGGACCCGCGUCUGAUUAGCCAGUUGGCAGGGUAAAAGCCUACCAA